rnacentral:tRNA from 1 species
GGGCCGCUAGCUCAGUGGUAGAGCAUCUGACUUUUAAUCAGGUGGUCCCGGGUUCGAUCCCCGGGCGGCCCACCA